rnacentral:rRNA from 1 species
AUUGAACGCUGGCGGCAUGCCUUACACAUGCAAGUCGAACGGUAACAGGUCUUCGGAUGCUGACGAGUGGUGAACGGGUGAGUAAUACAUCGGAACGUGCCUAGUAGUGGGGGAUAACUACUCGAAAGAGUGGCUAAUACCGCAUGAGAUCUACUGAUGAAAGCAGGGGAUCGCAAGACCUUGUGCUACUAGAGCGGCCGGUGGCAGAUUAGGUAGUUGGUGGGAUAAAAGCUUACCAAGCCGACGAUCUGUAGCUGGUCUGAGAGGACGAUCAGCCACACUGGGACUGAGACACGGCCCAGACUCCUACGGGAGGCAGCAGUGGGGAAUUUUGGACAAUGGGCGCAAGCCUGAUCCAGCAAUGCCGCGUGCAGGAUGAAGGCCUUCGGGUUGUAAACUGCUUUUGUACGGAACGAAAAGCCCUGGGUUAAUACCCUGGGGUCAUGACGGUACCGUAAGAAUAAGCACCGGCUAACUUCGUGCCAGCCGCCGCCGUAACAC